GAGGGGCAGCGGGGUAGUGCUUGCACUACUGCCGGCGACCGGCGCACGGGUGAGUAACACGUAUGGAACCUGCCCGCAGCAGGGGGAUAAGCGGAAGAAAUUCCGUCUAAUACCGCGUAAGAACGUUGGGAGGCAUCUCCCGAUGUUUAAAGAUUUAUCGGCUGCGGAUGGCCAUGCGGCGCAUUAGCUAGUCGGCGGGGUAACGGCCCACCGAGGCGACGAUGCGUAGGGGUUCUGAGAGGAAGGUCCCCCACACUGGUACUGAGACACGGACCAGACUCCUACGGGAGGCAGCAGUGAGGAAUAUUGGUCAAUGGCCGAGAGGCUGAACCAGCCAAGUCGCGUGAGGGAAGACGGCCCUACGGGUUGUAAACCUCUUUUGUCGGGGAGCAAAGCGAACCACGUGUGGUUCAUUGAGAGUACCCGAAGAAAAAGCAUCGGCUAACUCCGUGCCAGCAGCCGCGGUAAUACGGAGGAUGCGAGCGUUAUCCGGAUUUAUUGGGUUUAAAGGGUGCGCAGGCGGAGGUGCAAGUCAGCGGUCAAAUUGCGGGGCUCAACCCCGUACUGCCGUUGAAACUGCAUCCCUUGAGUGCGCGAGAAGUAUGCGGAAUGCGUGGUGUAGCGGUGAAAUGCA
rnacentral:rRNA from 1 species